ensembl:snRNA U6 U6 spliceosomal RNA
GUGUUCGCUUUGGUGGCACACAUACAAAAUUGGAAUGAUACAGAGAACAUUAUCACAGUCCCUGCAUGAGGAUGACAUGAAAGUUUAUGAAGUGUUAAAGAAAAAA